rnacentral:lncRNA from 1 species
GCAUACUAUAUAGUACGCAAGUAUGCGAUUUCAGACUUAACGUGGUUUGUAUUCAAAGGUUUUAAAACUGUCUGUCACCCUCUGGUGGCUCAGUAGAAUCGGUGGUUUUAUUAAUUUUUUUGUUUCGACUGUACGUCGCUAACUCCUUUCUGCAACGUAUUCAACAAUAUAGCUAGCAAGCUAUAUAUAUUUGUGUUUAUAUAUUUGUGUGUGUGUGUAUAUAUAUAUUAAAUCAUCACUUGUAAACCGAUGAUGCGACUCGGAACAGUGACAGUACUGUAAAAAGCUCGAGACUUCACAGCUAGGUCACAUGAGUGAAAACAGUCAUACCCGCAUACAUCUGUGGAAAUCGAGUUAGAACAAGCUAGCCGCUUGCAAACUGCUUGCAAAGGGACUGCUAGAAGAAAAGCAUCGGAGUGUUUGGAAGCGUUCUUCGUAGUUUGGCAACGGACCCAGUGUAGCACAUGAUCCGGACCAGCAGAGCUCGGAGAAGGCUUCAAUAAUUCAAGGGUUUCAGAAUAUCCACGCUGAGCAGUAAAGGUAAGUUCAGUUUCUCUGCACAUAAUUUAUGAAAACCAGUUUGACAAACCUGACGGCUAUUGUGCUGUGUGUUUUUGGUUACACACUACAUCCCGUCCCCUA